AUUGCAGUUCAUCGCAGUGUCCCAGUAGCUGAAAGAAAAAAGAGUUGCAGAAAGUCUCACAGGCAACAUGAAUGAUCAGUGAAGAUUACAAUUAAAAUUGGAAUAGCAUAGAUGAAGAAACCAGAGGAAAACUGAACCUUAAAUGUGAGAACAGGGAAGAAGAGAUUAUUUCAUCAGGAGAUGUAUCCAUGUUGAUAAAUAGGUCAGAACUUUCUCUGGAAAAUCAAGCCAAAAAGUGCUGCAUAAUAAGCUGGAUAACAUCACAAGGAGAAUUAUUUUUUAAUGGUCAUUCCCCUCCAUCAAGGAUACGGAAAAAAUCAAACUUGAAUUAAACAAAGAAACAGGCAGCUGAUAGGAGCAAAAAAUAUCAGCAAUGUUUCUCU